rnacentral:rRNA from 1 species
CACGUAGGGUGCGAGCGUUGUCCGGAAUUACUGGGCGUAAAGAGUUCGUAGGCGGUUUGUCGCGUCGUUUGUGAAAACUCACAGCUCAACUGUGAGCCUGCAGGCGAUACGGGCAGACUUGAGUACUGCAGGGGAGACUGGAAUUCCUGGUGUAGCGGUGGAAUGCGCCAGAGUAUCAGGAGGAACACCGAUGGCGAAGGCAGGUCUCUGGGCCAUUACUGACACUGAGACGCGAAAGCGUGGGGAGCAACCAGG